rnacentral:tRNA from 1 species
UUGAGAGUAGCUAAUUGGAAAAGCAUCUCGUCAUGAGGCGGGCAAUACGUGGGUUCGAUUCCCACCUCUCACA